GGUCCGGGCUGUCCCGCAGCAGGCAACGGGACAAGGACGGGCACCAGCCACAGGACUGAUCGGACAGACACGCCAGGCAGGACAUGUAGCCCGAGCAGGAACCUGAGCGGUAAGGCUCCAAGAACAGGAAGGAGAUUUCCUACAAGGAGAGCAAGUUAUACGUAAGGGCCAUCUCACUGGUUUGUCCUGAACCGGAGUUGUUCAGGUAACCCUCAGCCUGAACAAGGUAAUGAUUGCCCCUGGUCAGGUUAGAGAACAGCCUACUGCCAUCUGAGCGCGACAAUAUCUUCAACUCCUUUUCCUGCUGAGCUGCCCAACGACCCACCACCUCCUGGAUUCAGGAAGAAGAAAAAAUGUUAGGUGGCUAAGGGAAAAUAAACAGGCAAUAAUUAUUUUCCAAUUUAAUAUUUGUCCUUUCAAAUAAUUGCAGCUACGGCUCAUGUGUUGAAAUGAAAUCAUCUGGGAGUUUUUGAAGACUUGGCACAGCAACAAAACACUACAAAGACACACACAGUUGGCUGGAGUUGGGACCCGAUGCCACUCGAGCCUCAAAAUGGAGCCUCUGAAUGCGAGCCCACAUGGAGACGGUCUCGGUGGGAGGAGAGGCGUGUGGGGGAGCCCCCCACAACGGGUGUAUGAAGCCCCUGAACUGCAGAGCGACGUCCAUUUCUGUGGUGGGGCUAAGGAUGAUGUUGGAGCUGCGGAGGAUGGAAACCUAGCGAAGGGUUGAGGAGGGUGAAGGACAAAGGAGGAUGGAUGGAAGUGGAAACACAUCAACAGCAGCACUAAUCUCUACACACCACUCCACAAGUCUGACAUACACUACUUACAAAAGGGAACCUUAACUACAAGCAUAGUGCAAAACAAACAAUUAGGAAAUAAAGAGAAACGAUAGUUGGAGUUUUUCGACGUGUGAGGUACUGACAAAUAGACAGUGGGCGUGCUAACCCUCACUGGCUAACCCUCUGCAAGGAACCACUUGCUCUCGCUGAAAAGAUGGCUGCCAGCGGGGACACAAGGAAAACUGAUCCGGUAGAAUAUGUUUGCCACUUUAUUGUUCUAUUUUCCAGCAGAGGACAGACGUUUGUAAACCGCUCACUCUCCCACACCAAAUUCUGCAAUGAAAAUGAGCAUUUUUAGCAGCACUGUUUGAUAAGUUUGUGUCAUUUAGAUAAAUCUGAAUUUCAAAAGCCAGAGCAACAAAAUAGACCUACAUCUCCUCUGUGCUGUGAGUAAAAUUGGACUUUGGUUCAGGAGAGUGAAUGGUUUACAAAGAGACACAACUUCAUUUCAAGUUCUAAGAAAAAGACUGUCUAAUGGUAAGAUAAAGUGGGAAACAAUUCUUAGGAUACCGUUGACUUGAACAUUGUAUAUAUCAUAAGGUGAACCUUUUGUUAAGUGGCUAAAAUACAGUUUCCAGGACAGCAGGUGUCCGUGUCCAGGCUGGUUCUGAGCGCUGACUAUGUGUCUGUAACUCACAGAAGUGUACACAAGGAAAAAUGAACAAUAAAAGAGAAACUAACACA